rnacentral:tRNA from 1 species
GUUUUAAUAAUUUAAAUAAAUAAAAUAAUGAUUUUGUAAAUCAUAAAUAGGCUAUCCUUUAAAACU